rnacentral:rRNA from 1 species
GUCGAGAAUCUUUCGCAAUGGGGGAAACCCUGACGAAGCGACGCCGCGUGCAGGACGAAGGCCUUCGGGUUGUAAACUGCUGUCACUCGGGAAGAAAAACGUGCGGUCGAAUAGGCCGCAUGACUGACGGUACCGAGAGAGGAAGCAACGGCUAACUCUGUGCCAGCAGCCGCGGUAAUACAGAGGUUGCAAGCGUUGUUCGGAUUCAUUGGGUGUAAAGGGUGUGUAGGUGGUCACGUAAGUCAGGUGUGAAAUCCCGGAGCUUAACUCCGGAACUGCAUUUGAUACUGCUUGACUCGAGUACGUUAGAGGAAAGGGGAAUUCUCGGUGUAAGGGUGAAAUCUGCAGAUAUCGAGAGGAACACCAGUGGCGAAGGCGCCUUUCUGGGACGAUACUGACACUGAAACACGAAAGCUAGGGGAGCAAACGGGAUUAGAUACCCCGGUAGUCC